CAUUCGUUUCUCACCAGUCACAGUGAAAAGUGCAGUACGUAGCCGAGCAAGCCAAGAUAAGAAAAAUGGUGAAGUGAAAGCAAAAAUCUAGAAUUAUUUCAUUAUGGAAAGUGUAAUUAAGUGUGCUUGAAGUUUAUAUGAAAAAUGUCACCAGAGAAGUGAAUGCAUAGCACCCAAAAGGUAUGCCAGAAUUGGCUACCGGCGAUAAGAAAAAUCAAUCGGCAAAUGUGACGAUCCGGUGAAAAAAAAAAUGGCGGACGUAAUCCACGCCUCAAGUUUAUCGAACACGUCAGAAGGAUAGCGAAUUUAGUUGCAAAUCGAUGAUGAUACCGGAUUUUAUCAACUAGGAAAAGAUGUCUGUGCCAAGUGAAUCAAUCAAUUUAAGAUUCAUGAGAAUGGAUUUUCUUUUAGCAGCGUAGCUGCUACUGCCAAAAGACGUUCAGAUACCUUUGCCUGGUCGGAAUAUCAGCCGGAAUCUACUUCAAACAUGUGUAACGGGACCGCAGGUGAGAACUUUCCAAGAUGGCGUCUUCAGACGCAUGGAAAGGUUAUGUCUGCCGAGUCAUCAGAAAAUUUGCAAUGGCGUAUGGGCAUGCGCUCGUUCAUGCUCAGUAUGGAGGGCGAACGCAACCUCACAAACACGUGGAACCAACAUCACUGUAGUUUCUUUCAAAUUCUAUUUCAAUUUUUUUUGACAAAAGAUAACCACCACCGUAAGUUCUUUUUAAGUUCUAUUUCUAUUAUUUUUACUCGUCAUUCGUGACAUACCAGAGAAGCAAAAGAAUCAACCACUAGAAUUUCUCUAUAUAUUUCUAUUUACAAUUCGUAUAAGCAAAAGACACAACCACUAAACUUUCUCUAUAUAUUUCUAUUUACAAUUCGUAUAGGAAAAAGAUACAACCACUAGAGUUUCUCUAUAUAUUUCUAUUUACAAUUCGUUUGCGAAAAUCAAGAACCAGCACUGUUAUUUCUUUUUAAGUUCUAUUUCUAUUAUUUUUACGAAUAAGGAGUUCGUAACAAAAGUCAGCCACUAUAGUUUCUCAAUAUUUUCUAUUUCCUAUUCGUUGCAAAAUAAUACCAACCACUUGAAUUUCUCAAUAUUUUCUAUUUCCUAUUCGUAUUAGACAAAAUAUCAACCACUUGAAUUUCUCAAUAUUUUCUAUUUCCUAUUCGUAUCAGAAAAAGACCAAGCACUAGAGUUUCUCAAUAUUUUCUAUUUCCUAUUCGUAUGAGAACAAGAAAAACCACUUGAAUUUCUCAAUAUUUUCUAUUUCCUAUUCGUAUGGGGAUAGCUGAAAAGAUAAACCAACUGAUCUGUAAUUUCUUUCAAAUUCUAUUUCAAUUUUUUUUGAAACAGAUAUAAACCAACCUUUCUGUAAUUUCUUUCAAAUUCUAUUUCAAUUUUUUUUAAACAGUUUAAGAUCCAACCUAACUGUGAUUUCUUUCAAAUUCUAUUUCAAUUUUUUUUAAAACAAUGUAAGAGCCAACCGUUCUGUAGUUUCUUUCAAAUUCUAUUUCAAUUUUUUUUAAGCAUGUAAAGAUCCAACCGUUCUGUAGUUUCUUUCAAAUUCUAUUUCAAUUUUUUUUCCUUGACUUCUACUUCGUAUGUGCCACAACGAAUAGAAGUCAAAGACACUUGUCUAUUAGUCAAAUUGCACAAAGUUGUUCACUCUUUGACAGUCACACGCAAUUGCGAAUAGUUUAGAUUUUUUUCUGGCAAAAUGAGACAUACGACUUACAAUUUGUAGAAUAUUUAAAAUAGUAAAAGUUCUGUUUAGCAAUCGUCAUCAUAUGACCAAAGGUCGCAUGAGUGCGUAAAGUUAAAGUCUAUGUAAAAGUCGUCAUCAUAUGACCAAAGGUCGCAUGAGUGCGGAAAGUUAAAGUCCAUGUAAAAGUCGUCAUCAUAUGACCAAAGGUCGCAUGAGUGCGAACCAUUUAAAGUUAAAUCUUCCUAAAGAAGUCGUCAUCAUAUGACCAAAGGUCGCAUGAGUGCGAACCAAUAUAAAUAAGUUCUUCUGAAUGAAGUCGUCAUCAUAUGACCAAAGGUCGCAUGAGUGCGGAAAGUUGGAUAAAAAGUCUAUUUAAAAGUCGUCAUCAUAUGACCAAAGGUCGCAUGAGUGCGAAAAUUCUAACUUAAAUUCUAUAUAAAAGUCGUCAUCAUAUGACCAAAGGUCGCAUGAGUGCGAAAAUUCUAACUUAAAUUCUAUAUAAAAGUCGUCAUCAUAUGACCAAAGGUCGCAUGAGUGCGAAAAUAUAAAGUACCAGCACUGUAAGUUCUUUUUAAGUUCUAUUUCUAUUAUUUUUGCGAACAACUAUAAAGUUUCUCGAAGAGUCGUCAUCAUAUGACCAAAGGUCGCAUGAGUGCGAAAAUAUAAAGUACCAACACUGGAAUUUCUUUUUAAGUUCUAUUUCUAUUAUUUUUGCGAAUAUUGUUAAAACCAACCACUUGAAUUUCUUUCAAAUUCUAUUUCAAUUUUUUUUAAGUAAGCAAUGGCUUACGGUUCGACCGUGAUAUUAUCACUACGGAAUAUUAUUUUUGAAUUCCAACAGAGUUUUCUUGUUGCGUGAUAUUAUCACUACGGAAUAUUAUUUUUACGAUACAAACGAGGUGUUUUUAUUACGUGAUAUUAUCACUACGGAAUAUUAUUUUUGAAUUUUGACAAAGUCUCUUUGUUACGUGAUAUUAUCACUACGGAAUAUUAUUUUUAAUCUAUCUACAAAGUCUUUUUAUUGCGUGAUAUUAUCACUACGGAAUAUUAUUUUUGCGAAAAAAAAAUCCUCGAAGUUUUUUCAUUGCGUGAUAUUAUCACUACGGAAUAUUAUUUUUGCGAAAAGUAAUGAAUGUACACAUUAAUUUUCUACGUUCUAGAAGUCGUCAUCAUAUGACCAAAGGUCGCAUGAGUGCGAAAACAAAAUACUUACAAACUGUAAUUUCUUUUUAAGUUCUAUUUCUAUUAUUUUUGCGAAACUUUAAACGUUCUCCAGCAAAGUCGUCAUCAUAUGACCAAAGGUCGCAUGAGUGCGAAAGAUUUUAAAGUCAAAAUACCAAGCCACUAGAAUUUCUUUCAAAUUCUAUUUCAAUUUUUUUUGACAAAGUUUCUUGAAUCGUGAUAUUAUCACUACGGAAUAUUAUUUUUGCGAAAAGAACAAAGUCUUUUUAUUACGUGAUAUUAUCACUACGGAAUAUUAUUUUUGCGAAAGUAACGAAGUCUUUUUAUUACGUGAUAUUAUCACUACGGAAUAUUAUUUUUGAGAUACCAACGAGGUCUUUUCAUUGCGUGAUAUUAUCACUACGGAAUAUUAUUUUUACGAUACGAACGAAGUCUUUUUAUUGCGUGAUAUUAUCACUACGGAAUAUUAUUUUUGUUUUUAAAGAGACCAACUUUUCUGUAAUUUCACAAUAUUACAAUAUGCAUUACAAAUUUGCGAAUUGACCCAACAAGGGUCAUAGUUUAUAUAAGAAGAUACCACAAUCACUGAAAUUUCACAAUAUUACAAUAUGCAUUACAAAUUUGCGUUUUAUAUAGAAAAACAACUAACGAGUGUAAUUGAACCGUGAUAUUAUCACUACGGAAUAUUAUUUUUACGAUACCAACGAAGUCUUUUUAUUGCGUGAUAUUAUCACUACGGAAUAUUAUUUUUGCGAAAAUCAGUCUGUCUUUAUAUGUAAGAUAACCCACUGUACUUUCUUUCAAAUUCUAUUUCAAUUUUUUUACGACUAAUGUUAUAAAAAAAAAUGUAAACUAGGCUAAGAUACUGAGUAAUAAAUUUAUGUUAACUUCAA